UUGUGUAAAGUAUUGUAUUGCAAGAAACAACAUAUGAACAUUAUUCAGUCAAUAUGAAAAAUAUUGAUAAUAUUUAGAAGAAUUCCAAAAAUAAAAAAAUGUCCUUAUAAAAUUCCCCUGGGUGAUAAUUGAUACGUUUAAAUAAUGCAACAAAAGAAAGUACAUUUUCCUUCUAUUCUACACACUGUGCCAUGAGAAAAAUGUUUUAAAGCUAUUUUCCAGUCAUCCCCCCCAUUCCCACACACACAAUGAAACAUGUAACAGAUCCAGUGAUAGCACCAGUCUCAGGUUUAGCCUGACCUCUAGUGGUUAUGAGUGGUAGUACACCAGUCUCAGGUUUAGCCUGACCUCUAGUGGUUAUGAGUGGUAGUACACCAGUCUCAUGGUUAUAGCCUGACCUCUAGUGGUUAUGAGUGGCAGUACACCAGUCUCAGGUUCAUAGCCUGACCUCUAGUGGUUAUGAGUGGUAUGGCCUAGUUUCUUUCCUGCCAAUGCUUCUAUGGAGAAUCUUGAGUUGUUCAAGCUGAUGACUAUUCUGUAGGGACUUGGUGAGAGUCAAGAGGCAUUGUUCAAGAGGUUCUGAUAGACUCAACCACAACAUAUUUAAUCAAAAUCACAUUUUUUUAUUCAUCACAAUAAUUACAAACAGUAGAAUGAAACAAAAAUUAAUGAAAUGAGUCGAUACGAUACAGCAGCAACAUUGAUUAAUAGUGGAGUUUAUCUGGUACAGCAGGAAGACAAUUUGUCAGUGGAAGAACAAUGGAGUGGCUGUUGAAUUGAAUUGAAUCUACCUGUAGCUGACUACAAGGAAAGAAGAACCCUGACCUCACAGAUACAUGUGUCUCUGUGGGAGGGAAGGGGGGUCCCUCUUAGCUCCACAGCAACCAGUCCCUCUUAGUUCCACAACAACCAGUCCCUCUUAGUUCCACAACAACCAGUCCCUCUUAGUUCCACAACAACCAGUCCCUCUUAGUUCCACAACAACCAGUCCCUCUUAGUUCCACAACAACCAGUCCCUCUUAGUUCCACAGCAACCAGUCCCUCUUAGUUCCACAACAACCAGUCCCUCUUAGUUCCACAACAACCAGUCCCUCUUAGUUCCACAACAACCAGUCCCUCUUAGUUCCACAGCAACCAGUCCCUCUUAGUUCCACAACAACCAGUCCCUCUUAGUUCCACAACAACCAGUCCCUCUUAGUUCCACAACAACCAGUCCCUCUUAACUCCACAACAACCAGUCCCUAUUAGUUCCACAACAACCAGUCCCUCUUAGUUCCACAACAACCAGUCCCUCUUAGUUCCACAACAACCAGUCCCUCUUAGUUCCACAACAACCAGUCCCUCUUAGUUCCACAACAACCAGUCCCUCUUCACUCCACAACAACCAGUCCCUCUUAGUUCCACAACAACCAGUCCCUCUUAGUUCCACAACAACCAGUCCCUCUUAGUUCCACAAUAACCAGUCCCUCUUAGUUCCACAACAACCAGUCCCUCUUAGUUCCACAACAACCAGUCCCUCUUAGUUCCACAACAACCAGUCCCUCUUAGUUCCACAACAACCAGUCCCUCUUAGUUCCACAACAACCAGUCCCUCUUAGUUCCACAACAACCAGUCCCUCUUAGUUCCACAACAACAAGUCCCUCUUAGUUCCACAACAACCAGUCCCUCUUAGUUCCACAACAACCAGUCCCUCUUAGUUCCACAACAACCAGUCCCUCUUAGUUCCACAACAACCAGUCCCUCUUAGUUCCACAACAACCAGUCCCUCUUAGUUCCACAACAACCAGUCCCACUUAGUUCCACAACAACCAGUCCCUCUUAGUUCCACAACAACCAGUCCCUCUUAGUUCCACAACAACCAGUCCCUCUUCACUCCACAACAACCAGUCCCUCUUAGUUCCACAGCAACCAGUCCCUCUUAGUUCCACAACAACCAGUCCCUCUUAGUUUCACAGCAACCAGUCCCUGUUAGCUAAGACAGUACGUUCCCAAUAAAAACAUAAUUCCACCUUGACAUUAUGGGGUAGAUCAGUGACAAAACAAUCUUCCUUUCAAUCCAUUUCAAAUUCAGGCUGUAAACACAACAAACAUUAGGAUAAAGUCAACGGGUGUGAAGGCUCAAAGUAAACAAAACAUUAUGAACACCUGCUCUUUCCAUGACAGACUGACCAGGUGAAUCCAGGUGAAAGCUGUCAUCCCUUAUUGAUGUCACCUGUUAAAUCCACUUCAAUCAGUGUAGAUGAAUGGGAGGAGACGGGAUAAAGGAAGGAUUUUUAAGCCUUGAGACAUGGAUUGUGUCUGUGUGUCAUUCAGAGGGUGAAUGGGCAAGACAAAAUAUUUAAGUGCCUUUGAACGGGGUAUGGUAGUAGGAGGUGCCUUUGAACAGGGUAUGGUAGUAGGUGCCUUUGAACAGGGUAUGGUAGUAGGUGCCUUUGAAUGGGGGUAUGGUAGUAGGUGCCUUUGAAUGGGGGUAUGGUAGUAGGUGCCUUUGAACAGGGUGUGGUAGUAGGUGCCAGGCACACUGGUUGUGUCAAGAACUGCAACGCUGCUGAGUUUUUCACACUCAACAGUUUCCCGUGUGUAUCAAGAAUUGUCAACCACCUAGAGAAGUUCCAGCCAACUUGACGCAAUUGUGGAAAGCAUUGGAGUCAACAUGGGCCAGCAUCCCUGUGGAACGCUUUCAACACCUUGUAGAGGGGGGUGGAGCAACUCAAUAUUAGGAAGCUGUUCUUAAUGUUUUGUUCACUCAAUGUAGAUUGUACAGUAUAGUACAUUCCCUGAACAAAAGCAGGAUCUAGAUUAUACAGCUCUAUCUGAACAGAUGCUGGCAAACCUAAAGAGUCAUUCCAUUUGAUUCUUGAUGACAGUCCAUGAUGCUGCUAAACCUAAAGAGUCAUUCCAUUUGAUUCUUGAUGACAGUCCAUGAUGCUGCUAAACCUAAAGAGUCAUUCCAUUUGAUUCUUGAUGACAGUCCAUGAUGCUGCUAAACCUAAAGAGUCACUCCAUUUGAUUCUCGAUGACAGUCCCUGAUGCUGCUAAACCUAAAGAGUCACUCCAUUUGAUUCUUGAUGACAGUCCCUGAUGCUGCUAAACCUAAAGAGUCACUCCAUUU
ensembl:lncRNA